UCAUUGGGGAGAAAAAAAGCUCAUCCAGCUUUACUAAUCACUUCCACCAGCUCUUCGUAUGCUUGAGAGCUGCUCUCGGAUUUUAUCACAUUUUUCUGGCUCCUCAGAAUCCGAGAGAGAAUUAUGUAGUUAUUUAUUUUAUGUUUUUGGCUUUCCAUAGCAGAAGGAGGAGGCGCGACGCGAGCUCCAAAAUCCGGCGGAGAGCGGGACCCGGAAGACAGAAAGAGAUCGGGCAGCGGUCGCCUCCAGCUCCUCUUCCAGGUCCAUACGGGCUCCCCAGGACAUGAGACGGCUGGCUACCUCGGCAGCGGCCGGCCCAGAUCCCCGAGGCUCUGACAUCCAACUCGCUUCGGCCGAAAAGAGAGCGAGUCGCGAGCGGAGCUGCUUAAUUGUAAGACGACCUUUCGAGGGCUACCGUUGCGUUCUCCACUCUUAAACACUUCACACUUAAACACUUCAUCAUCACCCCCCCGGUGACGAAACGGGAACGAAGCGUAACACAGAGUCCAUAUCUAAGGCUAUGGGACAUUAACGCUAGUUAUCUUUGAAGAAAUCUUCAAUUGAAAAGAACUCUACGUUUCAGUUGACUUCUUGACUUCAGUCUUCUGAUGCAGUUUGCAAAUAAGUUUGAAAGACCGCAAGUCUGCAAGAAAAAUUAAAACGGAAGUAGACUCGGAGAUGGCUAACCUCAAUUUGCACUGUUGUAUAGAGCUGACACAGGGUGAGGAGAACCUGGGUCCGGCUGAAACAGGAAGCAGCGAUGUUACUGAUGUUACUACAUUUCCUCAAGAAGGAACUGAAACCGCAGUAUAUAUUCAACAUUAAGCACAACAUUGACUCAACAGUUGUCAGUUUGGGUUUUCUCAAGAAAUCUGUAGUGAUGAAUGGAUUUCAAGCAACUGUAGGCAUAACCUGGACGAGUGAAGAAGAAAUGAGCUCAAAAGAAAAGCUUUGAAUACGUCAUGGUUCCACCUCUAUAUUUAUACAUAUUGGAACACACACAAAAUAGGAAAAUGCUUGCGUUGACCGUCCAGUGAGGAUUAUUCCCAGGAAAUUAGGACUGGAAAGUAUGACAAUUCUCAGAGCUCAUUACAGGGCCGAAAUACAACCCAGUUAUGGCAACACUUUGAGAGGAUGUUUUAUGCCUAGAGCUGAGCAGUGGGCCAGAUGACGUGAAGAUAGACAUCUUAGACAACUUAAACCUGUGAACUGUUAACUGAAUCUUCAGCACUUACAAUGUAGGGCCUUGCCAUGUCCAUGUUACAGUGUCCUGAGGAACAGAGGAAAAAGUAAACAUAUUAGUAACAAAAAACAUCUGUAAACAAAGUAGCAAAACACACAUUCUCAUGUGUGAUGAUCCUCGAUGGUCUAAUUGUAGUGUGUGAUUUUGAGUCCACACACUCACACUGGCUGAAGUGUAAUCUGGUUGAUGGUAAAUGAUUUUUAUUAAAGGGAGUAAUAAUGCAUAACGUCAUUUUUUGUAAACAUAUGUAGAGAAAAUAGAUAUUGAAGAUACUCGAAUGAUAUUGUAAGUGAUGUGAGGACAGACAACUCCAGAACUAGCUGAAAUCUUGACGUAUAGAUUUUUUUUUUUUUUGUUGAUGGCGCAAUCUAUAUAUCAUAAUUAUAGAUAUACCAGAUGAUUGCCUCAAGCAGUUGAUUUCCUCUUAUUAGCUAACACUUUAAUAACAACCAUAAGUUUCAAUUCUGCUUUGUUAGUUGACGAUGCUAUUGAGCCACUCACCAGUUUAUUGGGGUAUCUGAUAAGCACUGGCUGUACAGGGACCCCUGGUAAAAAAGCACCUGAAAACAAGUGACAAGUGACAAAGCUUUCUCUCUCUCUCUCUCUCCAUUCUUAUUUUCAAACCACUCACACCCAUUGAACACCCUGUGUAAACACAAGGGUACAAAACACACCAUAGUUUAACCCUGCCCUUACUGCAGUGCUGUCACUAAAUACGAGUUCAAAUUCUGUGCUGCUCUGGUAAAUGUGUGUCAGAAGUAUCUAUUGAUCAGACUGUGCCCUAGAUUAUGGUGUCCUAUUAAUCCUGCUCUGUAGCAUGAUCUCAUUUAAUCAAUCAAAAAUCUGUAGUUUAGAUGGCCUCAGGCAAAACUGAUUCAGUAUAAGCAUUUUGAACCGACGGUCUGCAAUGUUUAAGUAAUCGAAAAUAUGAUUAAGUAAAAUUAAUAUCUAUAUAUGCUGUUCUGUAUAGUGUAAAGGAAGGACACAUCUGGUACAAAACAAAAGUCUCAACUAAAAGAUCUGUUCCUGUUUUACCUUCUUCUGCAAGCAAAGUUGCAUUACAUACAUUCAAUUCAGUUACUCCAAAGGAACAUUCUCAUAGUACUGUAUAUAGACUGCAACCGCUUGUGUAAACUGAUCCUUCCUCGAUCUAUCUAUCGCAUAUAACAAUGCUUAGACCAAAACCCAUUACAAAAUAUAAAUACAUAAUUGAAAUUAAGAGUGUGCCCUUGUACCUUGUUUGAAAGUAAUGAGACAGGAUCUGUUUGUACACGUUCCUUCUGGGAAAAUCAGCAACUGAAAAAUAUUGAACAAAAAGUCUGUGGAUUUAGAAGGACCUGUCAUGUGUAAUCAUUUUUGCUUAUAUUUUAAUCAAUCCGAGUGUGGUAAACCAGACACACUGUAUAUUUUCAUACUAACAAUUCUUUGAGUUACACAAAUGAACUAGAGCUAUCACUGAAAAGCCAUGCAUUAUUUCUUAUACAGGAAGUAGGGUUUUCCAAAGUAAUUUCAAAGCAAUUUCCUGUUUUGUAACACACAGCCUUUCUUCAAACAGGGGAUUUCAAUGUCUACGAAAUUAGUAACCUCAUACUGCAUCUUACUCUUUCACGUCUUAGAAAAUAUAAAUAAAUAUAUAAUAUAAAUAUAAAACAGUAGCAUGCCAGGCAUGGGUUUAUUCUGACCUGUGGCCAGCGGCCUUCAGACUUGGCGCGGUUGGUGAUGUUUGUGAUUGUUUGUUUGCGUGAGUCUGGGUCUUCCCGUGAGACGACAACAGGCUGCUGG